UUAAUUGCUGAGUAUGUUGCUGAAAUGUGCAUGUGAUUUCUUGUACACUUGCUAGGUCCUGUUGCUGGGAAAAGCUGGACAUCAGCCAGGAAGACAGGACUUUCUUUGCUGACCGGAGGUGCUCGGGAGUCCUGGAGGGAGCAUGUCUCUGGGUGUGCAUCUUAUACGUUGAAUUCCUCACGGGGGGCUCUGAGGUCACUGCUUUACACACCCGCUUGCCCGUCCUGCCUUCCCUACAUUCCCUGCAUCCUAGAGCGUGCUCGGAUCAAAGAUCACCCCCUCAACAGUGCAUUCCUUGGAAAAGUUGAGCAAAAUGAGUGAGAACUCCAACUGUUGUUCUCAUCAGAUCUGUUAUGCAGAAUGCAGCAGACUCCGGGCAGUCACAGGCAGAGCUGCAGCGCCAAGGGUCUUUGUCAGUGAAGAGAAGGAAGACCUCUCUCUGUCUAGGUGACUGGAGGUCCCUGGUGCUUGCAGAGGAGGUGUGGCCCUGCGUGCACAUCAUUUCUGCCGGCAUGUGGGAAGGUGGGGUGGCUGUGCCAGGCUCGCUGUCAUUUGUGACCUGCGUUUCCUUUGAUGGCCAGAGUUGUGAGAGGGGUCUGGAGAGAGUGUGUCCCGGGGUGUGCACCUUACACGUGGAUUGCUCAGAAAGGCAUAGCUGCAGUACAAGGGCUCUUCAUCAGUAAAGAAAUGAAGACCUCUGUUCCUGGAUGACUUGGGUCCCUGGGAAUCCUAGGGGAGGUGUGACCAUGAGUGUGCACCAUGUUCAGGCAUCACUGGAGAAGGUCGGGUUUCCGUGCAAGGCUUGGUGUCAACCAUGAAGAGACUACUGUUUCUUUUCUGUGGUGACUGGAUAUGCUAGACAGUCCUGGAAGGAGAGUGUCCCUGCGUGUGCCCCUUACAUGUGGAUCGCUCAGGAAGGUGUUAUGGUUGUGCAAGGUUCACCAUCAGCCACGAAGACAUGAUGUUCCUUUGGUGCCAGAAAUUGCUCAGGAAUCCUGCAGAGACUGUGUUUGUGUCCCUGGACGUGCACCUCACAUGUGGAUCACUCAGGAAGGUUGUUUCCCAAAAAAACGUUUUCUUUGACCUAGAGCCUCUCUCGCUCUGCACGUUGGGAUUCUUCUAGAAUUGGAAAUAGGCAAUGUCAAGCCCACCUUGGUGUUCUCAGAU